CCCCGGGCUUGCGCCCGAGGCUACACUCUCACGCCGCUCCGCGGCU
rfam:Acidobacteria bacterium 13_1_20CM_2_57_8 13_1_20cm_2_scaffold_11120, whole genome shotgun sequence.